rnacentral:rRNA from 1 species
AAACCAUGCACCGAAGCUGCGGCAGCGAACGUAUCACCCAAGACAACUUUACGGAGUUGACGAUUGACGGAGCGAAGCGACGUCAAAGCGUUCAUUAAAGUCGAGUUGGCUUAGGGAUACGUUCGUUGGGUAGGGGAGCGUUCUGUAAGCCUGUGAAGGUGUGUCGUGAGGCAUGCUGGAGGUAUCAGAAGUGCGAAUGCUGACAUAAGUAACGAUAAAGCGGGUGAAAAGCCCGCUCGCCGGAAGACCAAGGGUUCCUGUCCAACGUUAAUCGGGGCAGGGUGAGUCGACCCCUAAGGCGAGGCCGAAAGGCGUAGUCGAUGGGAAACGGGUUAAUAUUCCCGUACUUGGUGUUACUGCGAAGGGGGGACGGAGAAGGCUAUGUUGGCCGGGCGACGGUUGUCCCGGUUUAAGCGUGUAGGUGUGUGUUCCAGGUAAAUCCGGUUCACUUUAACACUGAGGCGUGACGACGAGGCACUACGGUGCUGAAGCAACAAAUGCCCUGCUUCCAGGAAAAGCCUCUAAGCAUCAGGUAACACGAAAUCGUACCCCAAACCGACACAGGUGGUCAGGUAGAGAAUACCAAGGCGCUUGAGAGAACUCGGGUGAAGGAACUAGGCAAAAUGGUGCCGUAACUUCGGGAGAAGGCACGCUGACACGUAGGUGAAGUGAUUUACUCAUGGAGCUGAAGUCAGUCGAAGAUACCAGCUGGCUGCAACUGUUUAUUAAAAACACAGCACUGUGCAAACACGAAAGUGGACGUAUACGGUGUGACGCCUGCCCGGUGCCGGAAGGUUAAUUGAUGGGGUCAGCGUAAGCGAAGCUCCUGAUCGAAGCCCCGGUAAACGGCGGCCGUAACUAUAACGGUCCUAAGGUAGCGAAAUUCCUUGUCGGGUAAGUUCCGACCUGCACGAAUGGCGUAAUGAUGGCCAGGCUGUCUCCACCCGAGACUCAGUGAAAUUGAACUCGCUGUGAAGAUGCAGUGUACCCGCGGCAAGACGGAAAGACCCCGUGAACCUUUACUAUAGCUUGACACUGAACAUUGAGCCUUGAUGUGUAGGAUAGGUGGGAGGCUUUGAAGUGUGGACGCCAGUCUGCAUGGAGCCGACCUUGAAAUACCACCCUUUAAUGUUUGAUGUUCUAACGUGGACCCGUAAUCCGGGUUGCGGACAGUGUCUGGUGGGUAGUUUGACUGGGGCGGUCUCCUCCUAAAGAGUAACGGAGGAGCACGAAGGUUGGCUAAUCCUGGUCGGACAUCAGGAGGUUAGUGCAAUGGCAUAAGCCAGCUUGACUGCGAGCGUGACGGCGCGAGCAGGUGCGAAAGCAGGUCAUAGUGAUCCGGUGGUUCUGAAUGGAAGGGCCAUCGCUCAACGGAUAAAAGGUACUCCGGGGAUAACAGGCUGAUACCGCCCAAGAGUUCAUAUCGACGGCGGUGUUUGGCACCUCGAUGUCGGCUCAUCACAUCCUGGGGCUGAAGUAGGUCCCAAGGGUAUGGCUGUUCGCCAUUUAAAGUGGUACGCGAGCUGGGUUUAGAACGUCGUGAGACAGUUCGGUCCCUAUCUGCCGUGGGCGCUGGAGAACUGAGGGGGGCUGCUCCUAGUACGAGAGGACCGGAGUGGACGCAUCACUGGUGUUCGGGUUGUCAUGCCAAUGGCACUGCCCGGUAGCUAAAUGCGGAAGAGAUAAGUGCUGAAAGCAUCUAAGCACGAAACUUGCCCCGA